rnacentral:rRNA from 1 species
CCUACGGGAGGCAGCAGUAAGGAAUAUUGGACAAUGGCCGCAAGGCUGAUCCAGCCAUCCCGCGUGAAGGACGAAGGCCCUCCGGGUCGUAAACUUCUUUUGACUGGGGACAAAAGGCCGGUCGUGCACCGGUUUUGAGGGUACCAGUAGAAUAAGCACCGGCUAACUCCGUGCCAGCAGCCGCGGUAAUACGGAGGGUGCGAGCGUUAUCCGGAAUCACUGGGUUUAAAGGGUGCGUAGGCCGUGGGGCAAGUCUGUCGUGAAAUGCAGCGGCUCAACCGUCUGAACUGCGAUGGAAACUGCCUCACUUGAAUCGUGGCGGGGCUGGCGGAAUGUGGCAUGUAGCGGUGAAAUGCAUAGAUAUGCCAUAGAACACCAAUCGCGAAGGCAGCUGGCCAGCCACCGAUUGACGCUGAGGCACGAAAGUGUGGGGAGCAAACAGGAUUAGAUACCCUGGUAGUCCACACCCUAAACGAUGCUUACUCGUUGUCUGCCGCUAGACGGUGGGCGACCAAGCGAAAGCGUUAAGUAAGCCACCUGGGGAGUACGCCGGCAACGGUGAAACUCAAAUGAAUUGACGG